AUGACGGGGUAUCCGGCCUGAGAGGGUGAACGGACACACUGGAACUGAGACACGGUCCAGCUCCUACGGGAGGCAGCAGUAGGGAAUAUUGCUCAAUGGGGGAAACCCUGAAGCAGCAACGCCGCGUGGAGGAUGAAGGUUUUAGGAUUGUAAACUCCUUUUGUUAGAGAAGAUAAUGACGGUAUCUAACGAAUAAGCACCGGCUAACUCCGUGCCAGCAGCCGCGGUAAUACGGAGGGUGCAAGCGUUACUCGGAAUCACUGGGCGUAAAGAGCGCGUAGGCGGGAUAGUCAGUCAGGUGUGAAAUCCUAUGGCUUAACCAUAGAACUGCAUCUUGAAACUACUAUUCUAGAGUGUGGGAGAGGUAGGUGGAAUUCUUGGAA
rnacentral:rRNA from 1 species